CAUAAUUUUGCAAAGACUCGUUACAUUGAGCGGCCCUUAUCAAACGUAUUUAUUAUAAUAGUAUUUAGAAAAAGUAGAGAAAAACACAUUAGAAAAAGUCCUAGUUGUAUUUAUAUUUUUACUAAGUAAGGAGACUUGACUAAUUUUGACUAUAAUCAAACUAAUUUUGACCAAAUUAAUUAUCCAAAUAAUUUUUUGUGAACACAUUUAAUUGGUUUAGUUUUAUAAAUAAGGCUGACUAGUUUUGACUACCGAUACAAUAAUCAACAAAGAGUAGUUUGCCCUAAAUCGACUCUACACAUCUCUUUUGUCCUAAAUCGGUACACCAACAAUCUCCAGUUCAAUUUGACACCAUCGCGCCGGCCCAUCGCCGCCAGUCCAUCGUCAGAAGCUCUGUGCCCGUGUUGUUCCACACAUGCUUCGUUAGAUGGUUGCACGCUUCACUCGCCUCAAGGAUCUCGAUCUCUCUCAAUCUGCAUCACGUUCGGUUUAUCCCGGAGUCACUGAUUCAGAUCUAUCUGUCAUCGCCACUGAUUUCACCGCCUGACGUCUACUCAAGCUUCAAAAUCGCAAAGGUAUCAUCGAUACUGGAAUGGUGGCAAUUGGAUCUGGUGUUUCGUCUCUACAAUCAUUAGAUGUUCCAGUCCAAGUUUAUUAAUUAAAAGGAAUUCCAAUUGGUUUGUUAUUUGAUUCAUAUUACUUUAUGCAUUUUCCAUGUUCAUAGACUGCAAAUAUGGAUGGUGAAACCAAUCUUAAAAUCAGGAAAGCUAUGGAGAAGACAUGGGACUAUGUGACACAAGAGAAAGCCUCAAAAUUCAAAAGUUAUAUAACUUAUAUUAUAUGUUUAAUAUACUUUUUAUUUAAGUUAUUGGUUUUCAUUUUUUAAAUUGAUGAUGACUUUAUAACAUUUGCGGGCCAAAUACAAUGUGAACAACCAAUUAAUUCACUUUAUACCUUCAUCGGUAAUUUAAUAGUCAAAAAGCAAACUCUACCCUUUGGUCCAAAUCAAAUUGUUUUGAGAGUAAGAUAUUAAUUUUAUAUUUCUUCAUUUCUCUUAUUGUGAUAAAUGUUGAAAAUGUGGUCAUUUUGUGACAUGAGCUUCCCAUUUUUUGUGAUUAACUCUGAAAUAAAUCAGACCUUGUAGAAGAAAUAACUAGUUUUCCAUUUCUGUACUCUGGAUUCUUAGUAUGUGUGAGAUGAUAUGAGAUAGCUGUCACCAUGAUUUCCUCAAUAUAGGUGCUAAGAUCAAUUGUAUCAGCCACACAAAUAGAAGCAAGAUCAUCGACAGCAAGAACUUCACUAAUAUGAUUUCUUUUAUCUUGAAACUAGAUCAUCUUCAUAUCUUCUUCAUGUUGGCUUUUCCAACUCACAAGAUGAUUUUCUUCUUGAGGAGGUUUGAUUUCAAUGUUGUCAAGUGCAAGCCAGGUGGCAUGAAUUAGUUAAAUUGAUUACAAAUUUUGUUGAAUUUGAUUAUAAUAGAUUAGUUGUGGACUUGUAGUUGUGUCAAAUGAUGAAUACAGAUGUCAAUCAACAAGUACAGAUGAGAAGACGAAUAAAGUAGGAAUGUUUUGGAUAGCACAAGCAAUUUAUUGACUAAAUUCUUGAGUGGUGGAAGCAUAGGUUCCAUGCAUGUAACCGAAGGUGUUGUGUCUGAUUUAUUUGGAAAACCUCUUUUUUUCUCUUUGUUUGACUGGUUCAUAGAGGUACUUUUCAUUUAUCUUUUCAUUUUUCUUCUCUUUGUAUGAUUAAUUCAUAAUCUAUUAACAUCUAUGACACCUCAAUGAUGAUUUGUUAAACAGCAUGGCUCAGUUUAUAAACUUGGUUUUGGUCCAAAAGCAUUUGUAGUUGUAUCAGAUCCAAUUGUUGCCCAAUAUAUUCUUCGUGAAAAUGCAUUUUCAUAUGAUAAGGGUGUUCUUGCUGAUAUUCUGGAACCAAUUAUGGGGAAAGGGUUAAUUCCUGUUGACUUAGAGACUUGGAAGCAAAAGAGAAGAGGUAAACAUGAUAUUUAUUAAGCCCUUAUUUGUAUUGUUUGAUGUUGAUUUGUAAGUUUUCACAGUUAUAUCUCCUGGAUUCCACACCUUAUAUUUCAAAGCCAUAGUGCAGAUGUUUGCCAGUUGUCAAGAAAGAACAAUAUCUAAACUCGAGAACCUUCUAGAAGGAAAAAAAAACGCACAAGGAGAACAUGAGAUUGAGUUAGACCUCAAAGCAGAGUUCUCAAAUUUGGCACUAGACAUAAUUGGUCUUGCUAUCAAUUAUCUUGACUUUUAUUUCAUUACAUAUUUACAUCACAUGUUUUGUGAUUACUCCAAAAUCUAAUGAAAUUGAGGGUGAAUUAGGUUCCAAGGGCGUUAGCUAGUGUUGUGGCAUUUUGCAUGGCAUUUUUAGUGGUCAAAAAGAAGGAAAGCAUCGAGCUUUUUUGUUGCCUUGAAAGUCGUGCAAAUGAUAUAAUGUUGAGAUUUCAUGACUGUUGUCAGAACUAUAGGGUACAUGAUAACAUAAGCAAACUUCCUUUGUUAUUAUUUUGUAUAAUAACAUAUGCAAAUAGUUCAAUAGAAGUGUUUCGCUAUGGGUGCAUGAAAUUACAAAAAAUCAAGAAUUUGUUGUUCAAAAGCUUAAAGAGUCUGUAUUAGAUGAAAUCAAAGGGUCAUUAACAAUGCGAUAUGAGCUUAAUUUCACAUUGAAUCAUAUUUAUUCAUUUGCAAGCAGGUAAUAACUGACUCUAAUACUCAUGGAGUUUGAAAUAUGUAUUUCUUAUUUGUUUGACAAAUGUUGUGUUCUAUUUAUAUUGUGGGAAGCAUCGUAUCUUUGUGUUCUAAUACUCAUGGAGUUUUUUUUUGACAUCUUAUUGGUU